UACGGGGGGUGCGAGCGUUAAUCGGAAUAACUGGGCGUAAAGGGCACGCAGGCGGACUUUUAAGUGAGGGGUGAAAUCCCCGGGCUUAACCUGGGAAUUGCAUUUCAUACUGGGAGUCUAGAGUGCGUUAGGGAGAGGUAGAACUCCACGUGUAGCGGUGAAAUGCGUAGAGAUGUGGAGGAAUACCAAAGGCGAAGGCAGCCCCUUGGGAAUGUACUGACGCUGAUGUGCGAAAGCGUGGGGAGCAAACAGG
rnacentral:rRNA from 1 species